rnacentral:rRNA from 1 species
CCUACGGGUGGCAGCAGUGGGGAAUAUUGCACAAUGGGGGAAACCCUGAUGCAGCGACGCCGCGUGGGUGAAGAAGCGCCUCGGCGCGUAAAGCCCUGUCAGCAGGGAAGAAAAUGACGGUACCUGAAGAAGAAGCCCCGUCUAACUACGUGCCAGCAGCCGCGGUAAUACGUAGGGGGCAAGCGUUAUCCGGAUUUACUGGGUGUAAAGGGGGCGCAGACGGCGAUGCAAGCCAGGAGUGAAAGCCCGGGGCCCAACCCCGGGACUGCUCUGGAAACUGCGUGGCUAGAGUGCAGGAGGGGCAGGCGGAAUGCCUGGUGUAGCGGUGAAAUGCGUAGAUAUCAGGAGGAACACCGGUGGCGAAGGCGGCCUGCUGGACUGCAACUGACGUUGAGGCACGAAAGCGUGGGGAGCAAACAGGAUUAGAUACCCUUGUAGUC